rnacentral:rRNA from 1 species
GUUGUCGUCAGCUCGUGUCGUGAGAUGUUGGGUUAAGUCCCGCAACGAGCGCAACCCUUAAGCUUAGUUGCCAUCAUUAAGUUGGGCACUCUAAGUUGACUGCCGGUGACAAACCGGAGGAAGGUGGGGAUGACGUCAAAUCAUCAUGCCCCUUAUGAUUUGGGCUACACACGUGCUACAAUGGACAAUACAAAGGGCAGCGAAACCGCGAGGUCAAGCAAAUCCCAUAAAGUUGUUCUCAGUUCGGAUUGUAGUCUGCAACUCGACUACAUGAAGCUGGAAUCGCUAGUAAUCGUAGAUCAGCAUGCUACGGUGAAUACGUUCCCGGGUCUUGUACACACCGCCCGUCACACCACGAGAGUUUGUAACACCCGAAGCCGGUGGAGUAACCUUUUAGGAGCUAGCCGUCGAAGGUGGGACAAAUGAUUGGGGUGAAGUCGUAACAAGGUAGCCGUAUCGGAAGGUGCGGCUGGAUCACCUCC